GUCGUUAGGCGAUGCGAUAGUUUCUAUAGUGGGCGUUGAUGAUAGCUGUGCCGAAAAGUUAAGUGGACUUCAUAACAUGGAAAUAGGUCAGUCAAUAGCUUAUAAUAAAAAUGUAAAAAUUGUUGUUCA
rnacentral:sRNA from 1 species